UACGGAGGGAGCUAGCGUUAUUCGGAAUCACUGGGCGUAAAGCGCACGUAGGCGGAUUGCUAAGUCAGGGGUGAAAUCCUGGAGCUCAACUCCAGAACUGCCUUUGAUACUGGUGAUCUUGAGUCCGGGAGAGGUGAGUGGAACUGCGAGUGUAGAGGUGAAAUUCGUAGAUAUUCGCAAGAACACCAGUGGCGAAGGCGGCUCACUGGCCCGGUACUGACGCUGAGGUGCGAAAGCGGUGGGGAGCAAACAGG
rnacentral:rRNA from 1 species